rnacentral:pre_miRNA from 1 species
GUACUACUCCCUUCGUUCCGAAUUACUUGUCGCAGAUAUGGAUGUAUCUAGAUGUAUUUUAGCUCUGGAUACAUUCAUUUCUGAGACGGGUAAUUUGGAACGGAGGGAGUAGCUA